UACAGAGGUGGCAAGCGUUGUUCGGAAUUACUGGGCGUAAAGGGCGCGUAGGCGGUUCGUUAAGUCCUGUGUGAAAUCCCCCGGCUCAACUGGGGAACUGCACAGGAAACUAGCGGGCUUGAGUUCGGGAGAGGGAAGCGGAAUUCCGGGUGUAGCGGUGAAAUGCGUAGAUAUCCGGAGGAACACCGGUGGCGAAGGCGGCUUCCUGGACCGACACUGACGCUGAGGCGCGAAAGCUAGGGGAGCAAAUGGG
rnacentral:rRNA from 1 species